rnacentral:rRNA from 1 species
CGGGUUGUCGCUGGUCCCGUUCUUAACAGAGUCGGGACAUGUGCACACCUGGCUUCAUUCCACUCUUCAACCCCUGUGCACUUGUUGUAGGUUUCAGGUCGGACGCGGGGCUUUCGACUUCAUCGUCGAGAGCCUCAAGGAAAGCCUGAGCCUAUGUUUUACCAUACACACGCUUCAGUUAUAGAAUGUAAACAUCGCGUAUAACGCAUUUUAAAUACAACUUUCAGCAACGGAUCUCUUGGCUCUCGCAUCGAUGAAGAACGCAGCGAAAUGCGAUAAGUAAUGUGAAUUGCAGAAUUCAGUGAAUCAUCGAAUCUUUGAACGCACCUUGCGCUCCUUGGUAUUCCGAGGAGCAUGCCUGUUUGAGUGUCAUGGAAUUCUCAACCUUUGAAAGCUUUUAUCGGUUCUCAAAGGCUUGGACUUGGAGGUCGUGUCGGCUCUGCAAAGAAUAUCGACUCCUCUGAAACGUAUCAGUGCGAACCUUUACGGAUCGUCUUCGGUGUGAUAAACGUCUACGCCGUGGUUGUGAAGUAUGAUCGUGUCCGUGCUUCUAACCGUCUCCUUUGCGAGACAAAAACUGUGUUACUUACUAUAAGUAACAUAGGCAUUCACAAUCUGACCUCAAA